rnacentral:lncRNA from 1 species
UCUGGAGUUCCAGGACCCCACAGCAGCACCGUGAAACUUGGGACCCCGGAGCACUCAGGACCGGAUGACUGCCAGGAAUCUGGGGAGCAGCGGGAUCCCCAGAGUGCGUGUAACUUCAGAGCUCCCCGGAAACCUAGACUGCCCGGAAUUCUGGAGUGCCCCAAACCCGCAAAAUGCCUGGAGCACACCCGACCCGGGUGUUGCACAUCCUGGAGUACCAGGACUUCAGAGUGCCUGGACCCCAGGAGUGACCCUUUCCCCCACAGUGCCAGAAUCCGCGGAACCUGAGUAUCCCUGACAUCACUAUCCCAGAUCUGGUAGUGCCCAGACUCAGAAGUGCCUGGAACCCCAGAGUGGCCCCAACCCUGUGUCCCAGACCUGGGAAUACUCUGAUCCCCCAGGAUGGAUCACCAGAGUGCCCCGAGCAAUCUUUCACUAGUACCUCAACUCAAGGAACUACACAUGGGACAUUAUCUAUAUCAUGGAAUUCUGUGACAUCCUGAACAAGCUGGGACCCAUCUGUGUGGACACAACUUGAAGAGACUAGCAUUUGAACUGGUUUACUUCUGAGGCAAGAUGGGAUGAAAAACAGAAGUCAAACUGUAAUGCAAGAAGCCCCUCUUCUGUAUCUGUCAGAACUGGGAGAGUGACAGCAACCUCUGGGUUUCUCUGGAGAUGACAUUUUGGGUUUGGCUUACCAUUUUACCUAGAAGGUGGAGCAUAGGGCUUUCCAUGUAGUCCCUCAUUCUUUG